UUGCUGGUGGUUACCAAACAAACAUUCGACAAGGGAGAAAAUGUUUUUUAUGUUCGGUUUGGUUUUGAAAGUUAUAUCGGAAUUUUAGUUCCGAUAAUCCGGAAGAGAAACACUGCAACUGGCAAUCUUAAGUUUCGUUUGUGAUAGAUAAGUCAAAAUCCACCGGAAGUGAAACCAGGGCCCUUUCUACUGCGAGGGAGCGGGCAGACCAGUGGAGUUAACAUCCAGUUGAUCGAAGCUCCCACAGCCUAGGCUUAGGCAGAAUCUGAGGAAAAGCUCCGGAAUCUAACUAUCUGAGAAACUGUAUCGAAAAUUCCGACGCUCAGUAUGCAGCAGGGAACUGGGAUGAAAUUCCUGAAUGCUGCUACCACCAGAUGAGUCUUAAGCCAUCGAUACUUUCGGCAAUACGAUGUGACUCGCGGCCAAAUCUCGUUUUACAAAAUUUAGCCAGAAUCCUUGGAAAUCCACCGCCCGGUUUUCCGGGAGAGCCUCACUUCAGGCUGAUCUAAUAAAGCUGUUAACGGUGCCUCCACUACCGAUGACCAAGCGGCCGCCAGUUGGUUAUCGAAGCGAUAACGAUGGAGUCGGAGAGUUCAUUUGACAAUGUCGAUGAGCAAGAUCGUCUAAAAAAUAAUUUUUCGCGAAAAACAUCUCUCGUCUUUAUAAGGGUACAAAUUUGAAAUGUAAAACCUUUUUCUUACUGUCGGGAACUAUAUAAAACGUGGAUCUUUCAUUUCUGCUGGCCAAAUUUGCCUGUGCCAAUCGAGCCAUCACAGCGUAGAAAACAGCAAAAAGGUUCCAAAGGAAAUUCUGACAAUUAUAAUGAUAUCGAGACAGUAAAAUCGACAUGAAAAGGGUUGCAGGAAGUAAUCGCAAUAGCUUCGAAGAUAACAGUGAUGACGAGGAUAAUGGAAAUCCAGAUGAUAAGGAUCACAAGCCUCUUUGCGCACCGUUUGGCGGAAAAACAUUCAAAAUUAGAAGAAGUAAGAAAAAAAUGGAA